CGAGAGUCGGCUUCCUUAAGUCUGUUGUUCCUCAGUGGCUUUAAUGGUAGAGCGGUCGGCUGUUAACUGACUGGUCGUAGGUUCAAAUCCUACUUGGGGAGA
rnacentral:tRNA from 1 species